AUGGUCCAUGUAGUCUGCAGGAAGCCCCUGUUCCUGUAUCUCCUGAGCCUCCUAACUCUUCCUUAUAAAAUGGACUUGGGAUUUUGGAAAACAAAAGCCAGGAGGUAUCCACAGCCACGUCUACUUUCUGCCCUGCCACCAGCUUCCUCUAUAGUACCACAAACACUACUUGCCAUAGUAGAGGAAGGAGAAGGGAGAGAACCCAGAAGAUUGCAUCACAGUCCUUCAGCCACCACAAGUGCAGGCCGACUGCAAGGCAGCCUUUCCCCUCAUGGUCCCAAGAUGGUUUUCAACACCUCCUGGGGAUACCACUCUUCAUUUUGGCUGGAUCCAGAGUCUGAUCAGAUGCAUGGGGUCAUCUCACCAUCCACAUCCAGACCAAGCAGGUGUGUUCUUUCAUCAGGAGGAAUGAGGGAACCUCGAAAGGGUUCUGUUUUCAUAAGGUCAGCGGCUGAUGCUUAG
rnacentral:lncRNA from 12 species